CGCUUUGAAAUCACGUUCAAGAAGUCUCAUUCAGCACACAUCGCGAUACUUUCCAUCAGUUUGCAAGAGCCGCAGGUUGGGUGAGUUAUACAGUCUAUGGUGAGUAGUAGUAAAUAUGCUCUUUUAAUGCCUGUCCUAAAACGUAUUCUGUCUUCUUUAUUAAUCAGAUGAGCGCCUUAUGUUUACUCUCUGUAUUACAUCGGUCAUCCGAGGCUGUCUUUGAGUUUCAUUGAGUUUAACUAAAUGAACACAGCUGCUAACUGGUUAAACUCUAUCGGUCACGUGACGUGACGUGACGUGCCACAGACCUGGGAUCCGUUUUAUAUUCAUUUCAGGUUCAAAGAUCUGAAAAGACGUAAAGUAAGCAGUCACCCCAGUGGUGUUUGUGGAGAGGUAUUCCUUCAGAAAUGGAGAAGACAGAAAGCUGCAGAGGCAGGAUUGUUUCCAGAUAACACUGUAGUUCUCCGUCAUGCACAAGGACUCACCUCUUUAACUCCCCCCCCCCCCCCCCCCCACCCACACACACACAGAG